GUGGUCGGUGUACAGGUGGUGCAUGGUUGUCGUCAGCUCGUGUCGUGAGAUGUUGGUUAAGUCCCGCAACGAGCGCAACCCUCGUCCUAUGUUGCCAGCGGGUCAUGCCGGGGACUCAUGGGAGACUGCCGGGGUCAACUCGGAGGAAGGUGGGAUGACGUCAAAUCAUCAUGCCCCUUAUGUCUUGGGCUUCACGCAUGCUACAAUGGCCGGUACAAAGGGCUGCGAUACCGCGAGGUGGAGCGAAUCCCAGAAAGCCGGUCUCAGUUCGGAUUGGGUCUGCAACUCGACCCCAUGAAGUCGGAGUCGCUAGUAAUCGCAGAUCAGCAACGCUGCGGUGAAUACGUUCCCGGGCCUU
rnacentral:rRNA from 1 species